GAAACAGAUCUUGGUAAGACUAGCCCUAGGUUGGUUAGUUGUAUGUGCAGUUGCUGGAACCCUAGGCUUGGCUAUAGAUUUUGCUAACCUGGUGCGAAUUGGACUUGAAUUAAUCAAAUCACUGGACUGUGGUGCUUCAACAUGCAUCUCUAACAAAGAAACUCCAGAUCUGAAUCUUGAUUGUUCUUUUUGAAUUCAUUUUUCCAAUUGAUCAUCCAUUCCAAUGCACCUACUUGCAAAUUCAUGGUGCGCUGAAAUUUGCAUGUUAUCAAGAAUUGGCAUCUGAUUCAUAUGUGGGGCAAUCCCGUAUUAUAAUUUUGAUGUAGGUGGAGCUCUCCAUUUUUGUGCGAUGUUAAUCUUGUUUGAACGUGAAAGCUGUUAACAUUUUGUCAUCUUGGUUAUAUGGAGCUUGAAGUAGCUGAUGUUCACCUGGCUUCUGGCUAACAAUUUUCGAAGAAAACUGAUUUACUCUUGUGCUGGCUAUGAUUAUGUAUCUUUGGGACAUAAACCGAUAUCCCAGAGAUUACGUUGAAUAAUUUU
rnacentral:lncRNA from 1 species